ACGGAGGGUGCAAGCGUUAUCCGGAUUUACUGGGUUUAAAGGGUGCGUAGGUGGACUUUUAAGUCAGUGGUGAAAUCCCGAGGCUCAACCUCGGAACUGCCAUUGAUACUAUUAGUCUUGAAUACUGCGGAGGUUUGCGGAAUACAUCAUGUAGCGGUGAAAUGCUUAGAUAUGAUGUAGAACACCGAUUGCGAAGGCAGCAAACUACACAGUUAUUGACACUAAGGCACGAAAGCGUGGGGAGCGAACAGG
rnacentral:rRNA from 1 species